GAUGAACGCUGGCGGCGUGCCUAAUACAUGCAAGUCGAGCGAACGGACGAGAAGCUUGCUUCUCUGAUGUUAGCGGCGGACGGGUGAGUAACACGUGGAUAACCUACCUAUAAGACUGGGAUAACUUCGGGAAACCGUAGCUAAUACCGGAUAAUAUUUUGAACCGCAUGGUUCAAAAGUGAAAGACGGUCUUGCUGUCACUUAUAGAUGGAUCCGCGCUGCAUUAGCUAGUUGGUAAGGUAACGGCUUACCAAGGCAACGAUGCAUAGCCGACCUGAGAGGGUGAUCGGCCACACUGGAACUGAGACACGGUCCAGACUCCUACGGGAGGCAGCAGUAGGGAAUCUUCCGCAAUGGGCGAAAGCCUGACGGAGCAACGCCGCGUGAGUGAUGAAGGUCUUCGGAUCGUAAAACUCUGUUAUUAGGGAAGAACAUAUGUGUAAGUAACUGUGCACAUCUUGACGGUACCUAAUCAGAAAGCCACGGCUAACUACGUGCCAGCAGCCGCGGUAAUACGUAGGUGGCAAGCGUUAUCCGGAAUUAUUGGGCGUAAAGCGCGCGUAGGCGGUUUUUUAAGUCUGAUGUGAAAGCCCACGGCUCAACCGUGGAGGGUCAUUGGAAACUGGAAAACUUGAGUGCAGAAGAGGAAAGUGGAAUUCCAUGUGUAGCGGUGAAAUGCGCAGAGAUAUGGAGGAACACCAGUGGCGAAGGCGACUUUCUGGUCUGUAACUGACGCUGAUGUGCGAAAGCGUGGGGAUCAAACAGGAUUAGAUACCCUGGUAGUCCACGCCGUAAACGAUGAGUGCUAAGUGUUAGGGGGUUUCCGCCCCUUAGUGCUGCAGCUAACGCAUUAAGCACUCCGCCUGGGGAGUACGACCGCGAGGUUGAAACUCAAAGGAAUUGACGGGGACCCGCACAAGCGGUGGAGCAUGUGGUUUAAUUCGAAGCAACGCGAAGAACCUUACCAAAUCUUGACAUCCUUUGACAACUCUAGAGAUAGAGCCUUCCCCUUCGGGGGACAAAGUGACAGGUGGUGCAUGGUUGUCGUCAGCUCGUGUCGUGAGAUGUUGGGUUAAGUCCCGCAACGAGCGCAACCCUUAAGCUUAGUUGCCAUCAUUAAGUUGGGCACUCUAAGUUGACUGCCGGUGACAAACCGGAGGAAGGUGGGGAUGACGUCAAAUCAUCAUGCCCCUUAUGAUUUGGGCUACACACGUGCUACAAUGGACAAUACAAAGGGCAGCGAAACCGCGAGGUCAAGCAAAUCCCAUAAAGUUGUUCUCAGUUCGGAUUGUAGUCUGCAACUCGACUACAUGAAGCUGGAAUCGCUAGUAAUCGUAGAUCAGCAUGCUACGGUGAAUACGUUCCCGGGUCU
rnacentral:rRNA from 1 species